GGGAGAGUCUGGAGAGACCUGUGGCAAUGCCGCGCAGCCUCCCUCGCCUUCAGCUCCUCGGCUUGGCUGCAGGCCCCACGCUCAGUGCUCAUGUUCUCAGUGACAGAACAAGGAUGACACCAACUGGCCAGUUCCUCAUUCCUCCUAUCAGAUACUUCUGGAACGUCUUUUCUUUCUAGUUUAUCUAACUACUUUCUUUGAACCUCUUGAUGUUUGAACAACACAUUCCUUUGUGGCAGAUGUAAGACCUCUGAAGGUUGCUUUUUGUCUCCCUUUAUCAUUCAUUUAACAUACUAUCCCUACCAUGAUGACUACCACCUCUGUCGUCACCACCGCUGCCACCACCAUCACCAUCACCACGAUCAUCACCGCCACCACCGUCACCCUCAUCAUGACCCCCGCUGCCACCGCCAUGACUGCCACCGUCACCAUGACUACCGCCACCUCUGCCAUCACCACACUGCCACCACUUCCUCUGUGCUCACCGCAGAGCCUAUAAGUCACAUUUCCGUCACUCAGAACACUCCAAACCCAGAAGACGUUGUAGGGGGUCGCCAUCUUGCCAACACUAGUGCAUACUCGUGUCCAAGAGACUUUGAAACUCCAACUAGCUACCUACGCAAACACCAGUAUGGUGCCCAGAUCUUGUAAGCAGUGCAGUGUAUUGGGAAAGACGAUCGAUUCUCUAAAAUGUUACCCCAUGAAGUACUUCUAACUUUUUUAGAGCUUGGUUCGUGGCUCAGAUGAAGACCCUGAGGGCAAAGCAUCCCGUGAUGGGACCUGAACCUACCCCCUCAAGCAACAAGGACUGCUCUGAGCCAGCAAGACCCUGCCAGUGAUUGAGUCCGAGACAUGGAUUGACCUGAUCUUUACUGCCCAGGUGCACAGACCACACUUUCUUUUAAAAACCUGGAAGUAUUUUCUACACUUUGGAGACCAUUGAGACACCAGUCUACUGUCUUCCUGGUGUUGGCCUCCCUGAAAUAAAUUCCUUUCUUGUUUCACCUCCA